AUGAACGCUAGCUACAGGCUUAACACAUGCAAGUCGAGGGGCAUCAGGAAGAAAGCUUGCUUUCUUUGCUGGCGACCGGCGCACGGGUGAGUAACACGUAUCCAACCUGCCCUUUACUCGGGGAUAGCCUUUCGAAAGAAAGAUUAAUACCCGAUGGCAUAAUGAUUCCGCAUGGUUUCAUUAUUAAAGGAUUCCGGUAAAGGAUGGGGAUGCGUUCCAUUAGGUUGUUGGUGAGGUAACGGCUCACCAAGCCUUCGAUGGAUAGGGGUUCUGAGAGGAAGGUCCCCCACAUUGGAACUGAGACACGGUCCAAACUCCUACGGGAGGCAGCAGUGAGGAAUAUUGGUCAAUGGGCGCUAGCCUGAACCAGCCAAGUAGCGUGAAGGAUGAAGGCUCUAUGGGUCGUAAACUUCUUUUAUAUAAGAAUAAAGUGCAGUAUGUAUACUGUUUUGUAUGUAUUAUAUGAAUAAGGAUCGGCUAACUCCGUGCCAGCAGCCGCGGUAAUACGGAGGAUCCGAGCGUUAUCCGGAUUUAUUGGGUUUAAAGGGAGCGUAGGUGGACUGGUAAGUCAGUUGUGAAAGUUUGCGGCUCAACCGUAAAAUUGCAGUUGAUACUGUCAGUCUUGAGUACAGUAGAGGUGGGCGGAAUUCGUGGUGUAGCGGUGAAAUGCUUAGAUAUCACGAAGAACUCCGAUUGCGAAGGCAGCUCACUGGACUGCAACUGACACUGAUGCUCGAAAGUGUGGGUAUCAAACAGGAUUAGAUACCCUGGUAGUCCACACAGUAAACGAUGAAUACUCGCUGUUUGCGAUAUACAGUAAGCGGCCAAGCGAAAGCAUUAAGUAUUCCACCUGGGGAGUACGCCGGCAACGGUGAAACUCAAAGGAAUUGACGGGGGCCCGCACAAGCGGAGGAACAUGUGGUUUAGUUCGAUGAUACGCGAGGAACCUUACCCGGGCUUAAAUUGCAGUGGAAUGAUGUGGAAACAUGUCAGUGAGCAAUCACCGCUGUGAAGGUGCUGCAUGGUUGUCGUCAGCUCGUGCCGUGAGGUGUCGGCUUAAGUGCCAUAACGAGCGCAACCCUUAUCUUUAGUUACUAACAGGUCAUGCUGAGGACUCUAGAGAGACUGCCGUCGUAAGAUGUGAGGAAGGUGGGGAUGACGUCAAAUCAGCACGGCCCUUACGUCCGGGGCUACACACGUGUUACAAUGGGGGGUACAGAAGGCAGCUAGCGGGUGACCGUAUGCUAAUCCCAAAAUCCUCUCUCAGUUCGGAUCGAAGUCUGCAACCCGACUUCGUGAAGCUGGAUUCGCUAGUAAUCGCGCAUCAGCCACGGCGCGGUGAAUACGUUCCCGGGCCUUGUACACACCGCCCGUCAAGCCAUGGGAGCCGGGGGUACCUGAAGUACGUAACCGCAAGGAUCGUCCUAGGGUAAAACUGGUGACUGGGGCU
rnacentral:rRNA from 1 species